GGCUGGUCCGAGUGCACUGUUGUUAUAACUAAUUUAACCCACAGUAACGAUCUCUUUGUUCUUCUCCUUCCCAUUGCUCACUUGAUAGCUUUUA
rnacentral:Y_RNA from 10 species